rnacentral:rRNA from 1 species
GAGUUUGAUCAUGGCUCAGAUUGAACGCUGGCGGCAGGCCUAACACAUGCAAGUCGAACGGUAACAGGAAACAGCUUGCUGUUUCGCUGACGAGUGGCGGACGGGUGAGUAAUGUCUGGGAAACUGCCUGAUGGAGGGGGAUAACUACUGGAAACGGUAGCUAAUACCGCAUAACGUCGCAAGACCAAAGAGGGGGACCUUCGGGCCUCUUGCCAUCAGAUGUGCCCAGAUGGGAUUAGCUAGUAGGUGGGGUAACGGCUCACCUAGGCGACGAUCCCUAGCUGGUCUGAGAGGAUGACCAGCCACACUGGAACUGAGACACGGUCCAGACUCCUACGGGAGGCAGCAGUGGGGAAUAUUGCACAAUGGGCGCAAGCCUGAUGCAGCCAUGCCGCGUGUAUGAAGAAGGCCUUCGGGUUGUAAAGUACUUUCAGCGGGGAGGAAGGGAGUAAAGUUAAUACCUUUGCUCAUUGACGUUACCCGCAGAAGAAGCACCGGCUAACUCCGUGCCAGCAGCCGCGGUAAUACGGAGGGUGCAAGCGUUAAUCGGAAUUACUGGGCGUAAAGCGCACGCAGGCGGUUUGUUAAGUCAGAUGUGAAAUCCCCGGGCUCAACCUGGGAACUGCAUCUGAUACUGGCAAGCUUGAGUCUCGUAGAGGGGGGUAGAAUUCCAGGUGUAGCGGUGAAAUGCGUAGAGAUCUGGAGGAAUACCGGUGGCGAAGGCGGCCCCCUGGACGAAGACUGACGCUCAGGUGCGAAAGCGUGGGGAGCUAACAGGAUUAGAUACCCUGGUAGUCCACGCCGUAAACGAUGUCGACUUGGAGGUUGUGCCCUUGAGGCGUGGCUUCCGGAGCUAACGCGUUAAGUCGACCGCCUGGGGAGUACGGCCGCAAGGUUAAAACUCAAAUGAAUUGACGGGGGCCCGCACAAGCGGUGGAGCAUGUGGUUUAAUUCGAUGCAACGCGAAGAACCUUACCUGGUCUUGACAUCCACGGAAGUUUUCAGAGAUGAGAAUGUGCCUUCGGGAACCGUGAGACAGGUGCUGCAUGGCUGUCGUCAGCUCGUGUUGUGAAAUGUUGGGUUAAGUCCCGCAACGAGCGCAACCCUUAUCCUUUGUUGCCAGCGGUCCGGCCGGGAACUCAAAGGAGACUGCCAGUGAUAAACUGGAGGAAGGUGGGGAUGACGUCAAGUCAUCAUGGCCCUUACGACCAGGGCUACACACGUGCUACAAUGGCGCAUACAAAGAGAAGCGACCUCGCGAGAGCAAGCGGACCUCAUAAAGUGCGUCGUAGUCCGGAUUGGAGUCUGCAACUCGACUCCACGAAGUCGGAAUCGCUAGUAAUCGUGGAUCAGAAUGCCACGGUGAAUACGUUCCCGGGCCUUGUACACACCGCCCGUCACACCAUGGGAGUGGGUUGCAAAAGAAGUAGGUAGCUUAACCUUCGGGAGGGCGCUUACCACUUUGUGAUUCAUGACUGGGGUGAAGUCGUAACAAGGUAACCGUAGGGGAACCUGCGGUUG